rnacentral:rRNA from 1 species
AUUGAACGCUGGCGGCAGGCCUAACACAUGCAUGUCGAACGAGUGGCGGACGGGUGAGUAAUGUCUGGGAAAAUGCCCGAUGGAGGGGGAUAACUACUGGCAACGGUACCUAAUACCGCAUACCAUCGGAUGUGCACAGAUGGGAUUAGCUAGUAGGUGGGCUAACGGCUCACCUAGGCGCAGAUCCCUAGCUGGUCUGAGAGGAUGCCCAGCCACACUGGAACUGAGACACGGUCCAGAUGCCUACGGGAGGCAGCUGUGGGGAAUAUUGCACAAUGGGCGCAAGCCUGAUGCAGCCAUGCCGAUUGUAUGAAGAAGGCCUUCGGGUUGUAAAGUACUUUCAGCGAGGAGGCGUUACUCGCAGAAGAAGCACCGGCUAACUCCGUGCCAGCAGCCGCGGUAAUUC